rnacentral:rRNA from 1 species
AGUAAUGCCUAGGAAUCUGCCUGGUAGUGGGGGACGAACGUUUCGAAAGGAACGCUAAUACCGCAUACGUCCUACGGGAGAAAGCAGGGACCUUCGGGCCUUGCGCUAUCAGAUGAGCCUAGGUCGGAUUAGCUAGUUGGUGAGGUAAUGGCUCACCAAGGCGACGAUCCGUAACUGGUCUGAGAGGAUGAUCAGUCACACUGGAACUGAGACACGGUCCAGACUCCUACGGGAGGCAGCAGUC